rfam:Stegodyphus mimosarum contig104152, whole genome shotgun sequence.
GCCUUCGUGGUGAAGUGGUCAGCACGCUCGACACUUAUUCAAGAGAUCCAUGGUUCGAGUCCCGGUGAGGACA